AGGUAAUGGCUCACCAAGGCAUCGACGGGUAGCGGGACUGAGAGGUUGGCCCGCAACAUCGGAACUGAGACACUGUCCGGACCUCCACGGAGGGCUGCAGUAACGAAUAUUGCGCAAUGGGCGAAAGCCUGAUGCAGCAACACCGCGUGUGCGAUGAAGGCCUUCGGGUCGUAAAGCACUUUUUGAGAGGAUGAGAAAGGACAGUACUCUCAGAAUAAGUCUCGGCUAACUACGUGCCAGCAGCCGCGGUAACACGUAGGAGGCAAGCGUUAUCCGGAUUUACUGGGCGUAAAGCGCGUGCAGGUGGUUUAGUAAGUUGGAUGUGAAAUCUCCCGGCUCAACUGGGAGAGGUCGUUCAAAACUGCUAGGCUAGAGGACGGUAGAGGAAAGUGGAAUUCCAGGUGUAGUGGUGAAAUGCGUAGAUAUCUGGAGGAACACCAGUGGCGAAAGCGACUUUCUGGCCCGUUCCUGACACUAAGACGCGAAAGCUAGGGUAGCAAACGGG
rnacentral:rRNA from 1 species